AGCUCCAAUAGCGUAUAUUAAUGUUGUUGCAGUUAAAAGCUCGUAGUUGGAUAUCUGGCUUUGCACGGACGGCCCGCCUUCGGGUUGAGUGCUGGAAGUGCUAGCCUAUUUUCUGGUUGGCGUGCUUUCCCUUUAUUGUGGCGAGUAUCGCGAUCCGGAUCGUUUACUUUGAAGAAAUUCGAGUGUUCAAAGCAGGCUUACGCCGUGAAGAUUGCAGCAUGGAAUAAUGACAUAGGACUAUCGUGUUCUAUUUUGUUGGUUCUGGGACCGUAGUAAUGAUUGAUAGGGACAGUUGGGGGUGCUGCUAUUCCGCGGCCAGAGGUGAAAUUCUCAGAUUCCCGGAAGAGCAACUUAUGCGAAAGCAUUCACCAAGGAUGUCUUCU
rnacentral:rRNA from 1 species